rnacentral:ncRNA from 15 species
UUCUUCCGUCGCGACUGGCGUUGGGAUGGGUGACCAUCGGGAAGCGGCACUUUAUCCCGGUUUUCCGGGAACUUUUCCUACCGCACGCCUGGGUCGGAACG